rnacentral:rRNA from 1 species
UGGAGUAUGUGGUUUAAUUCGACGCUAACGCGCAGUAACCUUACCUGGUCUUGACAUCUCGGGAAUUCAUUUGGAAACAUAUGAGUGCCUCGCAAGAGAGCCCGAUGACAGGUGCUGCAUGGCUAUCGUCAGCUCGUGUCGUGAGAUGUUGGGUUAAGUCCCGCAACGAGCGCAACCCUUGUCUUUAGUUGCCAUCAUUAAGUUGGGCACUCUAAAGAGACUGCCGGUGUCAAACCGGAGAAGUGGGGAUGACGUCAAGUCCUCAUGGCCUUUAUGACCAGGGCUACACACGUACUACAAUGGCAGGUACAAAGGGCAGCCACUUAGCGAUAAGGAGCGAAUCCCGUAAAACCUGUCUCAGUCCGGAUUGGAGUCUGCAACUCGACUCCAUGAAGUUGGAAUCGCUAGUAAUCGCAGAUCAGCACGCUGCGGUGAAUACGUUCCCGGGCCUU